GAAGAGAAAGGGGAGGAGGGAGGAAGGGAGGAUGGGAGGCAGGCAGGAAGUAAGGCAGGAAGGAAGGGAAACCAGGAGACUGAAGGCUGGGAAGUGAACCAAGGGGACACCCAGGAGGAAGCCCCAGGAGGAGUGCGGUUUCUGUCCUCAGCAAGGCUUCCGCUGUUGUCAUACUGAUUAAACAAGUGACUCUAGAAAGCACUCAUCAACGUGCCUGACACACAGUGACUGCUUGGUGACUGGGAAUAUUUCUGCAUCUCUUCAGAGAUCUUCUCGCUCAACCCCCACCCUCAGCAGCAAGCCUCUUUAGACAAUUACAGCUGACUCUCCAGUUAGACCUCCCGAUGGGGCCGCUCCGGGCCCCACAGGGCUAAGCGUCAUACGGGCGUUCCUGCAGCCACCGUCUUCCCAGAUUGCGGACCUCCAAGGGGCCCGCCUCUGGGAGCAUUCAGUCCCCUCUUAGGCUACAGAUGGGACAACUGAGUCUGUGAGAAUGCCCAGGGUCACCUAGGGAGCUCACAGCUGACUUGGGCCUGAACCUGGGUUCUACACCUUUACAUGCAUCCUUUGUCUUCUGUUGAGCCAAGUCCCUGUCAUCCUUAGUGCAUGCCCGGCCCAGAUGUCACUUCCUCUCUGAGAUCUGGCUCUGACUUUCCAGGCAGGGUGACCAAUGGACCAAUUUUCCUGUGACUGUCCUGGCUGCAGCACAGAAUGUUCCACAACCAAGCCAGGAUGGUUGGUCACCCUAUUUCCAGGUCAAAAUGAUUCCACCUCUUUCUGUGCUCCCAGAAUAUCCAAGGAUAACAGAUAAUAUUUAUUGACCCACUCUCCCAUUGUCCUAAGCACUCAACAGGGAUUCCCUGGUUUUACCCUCAUAAUAACAGUAAAGUAAAUACGAUUAUCCCCAUUUGGCGGAUGAAAAGAAGAAGGCAGAGAGAGGCGAAAAGGCAAGCCCAGCUGAGAGGGGCAGAGCCAGGAUUGAACCAUUCAGACUCUAGCUCCAGAGGCAGGGCUCUUAGCCACUGGGUUAUCAGGCCCUCUCUUGGAGGGUUCCUCUUGUGGUUGGUAUACAAGGCUGUCACCUUGGGACUUCCCUGGUGGUCCAGU